CUCAGUGGGACCCACAUGGACAGAGGCUUCCCUGCCCACACUUGGGCCGGGUGAUCGACUGGCACCUGGGACAUAUGCCGCCAGCCUGCGUGCCUGGCCCCCGACACUGCCAGCCAGUGCACAGGACUGUCUCUGCCUCCUCUGCUUUGGGGAAACAGAAGGGACAGACAGCUGCCAGCCCUUUCAUGUAUGAAGUACUCCUUCCGUCUUGGCCUCCCCCGUGGAGGACCAUUCAGGGACUGUCCUAGCACCCGGGCCCACAGGUCUGUUCAUUCAGGAGAGAGACUUCUGUUGAAGGGGCUGGAUCCACCGUGUGGAAAGCCCUGAGAACGCCAUGGCUAGAAUCCAUCUCCCGGGAGCACCCAGGCUCCAGAGGAAGAAGCUGGACUCCACCGAUGUUCAUCCCCUAGAUGCGCUGUAACAAGGCUCCCAGAAGGUCAAGGCCAGAACUCCGGGCCUGGGCUGCCUCGCUCUGACCACAUUUCCAAGCACAAAUUGCACCCUGACCCCGUCGUCCCCAAACCCUACAUGCUGGGAGAUGGAGUCACGUCAAGGCCAUGAUAUGUGGACCAGCCUUUCCAUCACUGAACCUCCAAUGGAGGACCGGUCCCCCCUUUUUAAAUAAUUAAAUCAAUUUCCA
ensembl:lncRNA